rnacentral:rRNA from 1 species
AGUGGGGGACAACAUUCCGAAAGGAAUGCUAAUACCGCAUACGUCCUACGGGAGAAAGCAGGGGAUCUUCGGACCUUGCGCUAAUAGAUGAGCCUAAGUCGGAUUAGCUAGUUGGUGGGGUAAAGGCCUACCAAGGCGACGAUCUGUAGCGGGUCUGAGAGGAUGAUCCGCCACACUGGGACUGAGACACGGCCCAGACUCCUACGGGAGGCAGCAGUGGGGAAUAUUGGACAAUGGGGGGAACCCUGAUCCAGCCAUGCCGCGUGUGUGAAGAAGGCCUUAUGGUUGUAAAGCACUUUAAGCGAGGAGGAGGCUACUGAGACUAAUACUCUUGGAUAGUGGACGUUACUCGCAGAAUAAGCACCGGCUAACUCUGUGCCAGCAGCCGCGGUAAUACAGAGGGUGCGAGCGUUAAUCGGAUUUACUGGGCGUAAAGCGUGCGUAGGCGGCUUUUUAAGUCGGAUGUGAAAUCCCCGAGCUUAACUUGGGAGUUGCAUUCGAUACUGGGAAGCUAGAGUAUGGGAGAGGAUGGCAGAAUUCCAGGUGUAGCGGUGAAAUGCGUAGAGAUCUGGAGGAAUACCGAUGGCGAAGGCAGCCAUCUGGCCUAAUACUGACGCUGAGGUACGAAAGCAUGGGGAGCAAACAGGAUUAGAUACCCUGGUAGUCCAUGCCGUAAACGAUGUCUACUAGCCGUUGGGGCCUUUGAGGCUUUAGUGGCGCAGCUAACGCGAUAAGUAGACCGCCUGGGGAGUACGGUCGCAAGACUAAAACUCAAAUGAAUUGACGGGGGCCCGCACAAGCGGUGGAGCAUGU